UUUGUACUUAUUGAAAGUUGC
rnacentral:piRNA from 1 species